rnacentral:piRNA from 1 species
UGGGAAGUAUAGCUUUCCCCUCAAGUGUGC